rnacentral:tRNA from 2 species
ACGAACAUGUUGAAAUUGGUAAACAAUCUUCACUUAAGAUGAAGUGGGCUUUAGCCCUUAAGAGUUCAAGUCUCUUUGUUCGUA